GUGCUUCAGUCACACCAGUAUCAAGACACUUCACAACUACACUUAGGAAAAGCAAUUUGGAUUUGUCCACAGCCACCAUUUACCCUGAAGAACAGCAGGAGCUCCCCCUCCCACAGGGAGGGAUGUGGGACAUGCCACAGUAAGAAAAAACACGGUACAAACUGGUACGUUAAGGAAAAUUAACUGUAGUAUGUAUUCGUAAUCACAAAGUUAUAAAACAUUCUGGCUCAUGCAGAUAAGCUGCCUCUGUAGCUCUGGAGUACCUGGAGGCAGGAUAUGUGAACAGCAAAGGGAGAAACUGUUCUCCCCAUCCGUGCAUCGGAGCCUACAUUGUAGGAAAUACGUCAUUAUGGGUAUGACCAUUAGUACUCACUGAUUCACAUCUUAGUCGCAGCAACAGAGCUCUCUGGUCAAGGGGCUGCAUCCCUUUCUGUUGCUGUAACUGAUGGAGACCAAGUUUGGAUCCCUUUACUCAUUUAAAAAAAAGUUUAAAGUUCUUGCCUUGAUGUUGCAUGUGAAGAACUUGGAAAUCCUGCAGGCCCCAAACUCUGCAGCCUGUGCAAGGCCUGAGCAUAACUUGCACCCUGCCUUUCAGCCAGGUGCCCUUGCAGCCAUAAACUUUCCUGUCCCCUUUCCAGGGAUUUACAGCAAGGAAGAGAGGAACUACUACAUGCCUCUUCUAGAAAUUGAACAUUACAGACAGAGUAACACAAGUUAGUCUAAUCAUUUACUUCCCUUCUACCUACUGACAUGAGGGUGUUCGUUGGAAAGCUAAAGAUCUACCGUGAUGUUGCACAAAACCAAGCUGGUUACCAGGCCAACUAAGAGAGCAAGGACAGAGACCUGUCCAGGAAGCUGUCUGUUGCUACUUACUUGGCUUUUGUGGGAAGGUAGAUACAUCCCACCAAUCACCCUUUUCCCACCAUCUUCACUUCUUUCCUCCCAGGACCGAGAGGCUGAUAACCAGCAGGACCAACAAUAUUCACCACCGUGGGAGUACUGGAUUUCUCAGGGACAGAGAAGGUCAGCCUUUUAAGAAACUGGAACUACAAGAGCCAGAUUUAAAGAAAUAGGAAUUGCCCUUUCCUCUCUGCCUCUUUCUAAAGUUCAAGAAGCUAUAGCAGAUUUUUUUUUCCUGCACAAGUGAAAUUAAAGUGGCCGGGAGAAGGAAGGGUUGUUUAACUUGGAUACAAGCUGAACUCUAAGGCUGGUGACCCCUGGGAAAGCCUUGCUAAGGCAAAACAAGAGAGGAUGUGCUGGUUACAUCAGCAAGAGAAGGCUUAUAUGUUUGGAAGGUUGCACAACAGAACAGAAGGAAAAAACCAGAAUGGUCAGGAUGACAGUGACACAAGGGUCAAAGACUCAGUUAGACUUUUGAACAUUUGGCUGCCUCGUAUAGCUCACAUCUGUUUGCAAAGGUUCUGCAGUUUAUAGCACCAUAAACCCUUCCACACGAGCUUUUGAAAGCUGCUGAGGGGCACCGGCAAGCCACACCACUGCCGCGGGUGCGCGCAGGGCUGGCAGGCGGGUGGGAAAAGCUCCGUAGAGGCUACAGGAUGCUGCUUUCAUUGCCCUGAGGAUCCAAGGUGUUUCUUAAUUCUGCCCAAUGCUGAAUUUCAUAAAGCUCAUAAAAUAUCAUCCAGGAAGAGAGUGCAUGAGAAAUAUGCUCAGAAGGAACUGCGUGCUGUCUAGGUAGAUGAAGACUGGAAGAAAACACGGGUAGAGGGAGCAGAAAUGGUAAAGUCUGGUGAGAAAGCUGGAAAUAGAGACCUAGAGCAGGGCUAUAUCUUAGCCACACUGUAGAGCAGCUGCUAGGAAGGUAAGCUUUGGGAGCCUGGUAAAAAGAAAGGAGGCUCCCAUGUCCUCUCUAAGAAAGCACAUCUGGAGAGACAACAGUCAUGACUGCCCCAUGUUCUUACACCUUUAGGACAAGGCCUGGGACUGCAGACUAAGAAGCAGCACCAAGCUAAGCUGGGGCAGCAACCCACGUUCCCCAGUGCAAGAUUCUCCCAUGCUCAGCCCACGCUCCUGGAACAGGACUCCCUCAAGUACUGUUUGCAUUGCUAUUUGCAAGUCAGGGAUGGGCACUCCAUCCUUCUGCUUCCCUUCUGAGGGCCUCAGCACCUGGAGGAGGUUAACAGGAUUAAAGUCUGUUUUAUCUGUCCCAACUUGGCACUCCAGAGGUCAGCUCCCUCCCUAGACAUGAAUGUUGACAAACAUAAUAGUACAUAGACAUUUCCCCUCCUUCCUCAGGAGCAAAGUCCAGGCUGUUCCACCAGCCAUUCCUAAAAACUGUUUAACUUUUAUCCACUCCCAAGGCCUGAGCUACUGCCCUUAGUAUUUGUUGUGGCAUCCCCAAAGAGAUUUAGACUUUUUUUGCAGUAGAUGCUGUACGCUCAGAGUCCCUUCCCCAAAGCGACACCGCACAACAGCAGAACGUGAGAUAGUGUGACAGUAAACAGCUUGUAUUCUGGAGCAGGAGACACAAGAAACUGAGCUGUCUCACCCAUAACUUCCUUCUUUCUUUGUGCCUUCCUAGAUGCUUAACAGUGCUGUUUUGGAGAUUUUUUGGUUUUUGGAUUGAUGGAGAAGUACCAUGCCACAUCCUUCCAACACAGGCCAGAGCAUCGUGAUGGGUGAAAGAAAAAGGCAAAGUGCAAAGACUCAGAAAUCUCAGCUGUCUCCUACUCUGAUGCAGACUGCAGGAAAAUCAUGUUUACCACUAGGGAAACUGAGGCAGAAAGGCAGGAAAUCACCAGGUAGCAAGUGUUAUUGAAGAGAACCCAAAGCAGCAGGCCAGACUAGAUGCUUGGAUAUUGGUCUUGAAGAUGAAGGCAGUAACACAGAUGAAGGGGAGAACAGAAAGUAGGAAGCGCUUGGUGGCACAGCUCACCCAGUAAUGCCACAGGAAAAAGCCCAAUGCUCCUAAGCUACGUAUGCCAGAGUUCUUUGUACUCACCUUCCAGCUGGCCCAACUGGUUAUGUUUGACUAGGUCCCAGGUGCACCUCAAUAUUCAGCUAUUUCUUUCAGCAGAGCCACUGCCUGGUGUUUGUCUUGGGCACGGUGUCUCAGGGUUUUUUUUGACAGUGCUGCUCUUCUCCUCUCCUGAUGGAAUUUUUCUUUCCUAGUUUGGAAACUGCUGUGUAAGUGGAGAUGACUAGCACAUGCAAAAGGGGCAGAGGGACCCCAGAACUACACAGGAACCACUGAAGGGUGGCUAGGUGUCCUAGGGCAGGAGGCAGUUGGCAGAAAUUCAGGAGAGGCAGAGGGAGUGGAGAAUUGUAAUAGAAAAGCUAAGAUAGGUCUGAAUGGAGAGUAAAGAGUCUGGGGUGUGUGUGUGUGUGCAUCCAUGUAUAUGGAGUUUUUCUAUGUCUGAGCUGGCCACUUGUUGUUAUUUCUGAUGCUUUUUGCAGAAAAGGACCCCGCAGGUGGCCACAGCCGACAGAAGUGAUCACUUGGCAUGGCUUCUCAGCCCUUUCUCAGGCAGCACAAGCACAGCCAGCUUCAAGCUCCUGCCUUGCAUGUUGCUCUGAUGGGCUGUUUCUCAGGCUGCUGUGCCUUCUGGCACUGGAAGUGAGCAAGCCAGCAGAGAAAUGACUGGUGUCUUCUGGGGACAGCACCGGUCAGGAUACAGCAUCAACUAGAGCUGGUUUGGAAUAUCCUGUGCCGUAGACCCCUGUCACCGCCAGGCACAUGGGCUCUCUUGGGAGCUUGCCUGCGUGACCUCAGGAUGGAGGCCCGUCACCUGAACACGCACAUACCCACGCUGUUUUGUCAGCUGAGCGAUUGCAUUCCUCCUUUAGCACUCCUUGGCCAGGGUUGGGCCUUACCUCACCACACCCUGUGGGCCAGCACCCCUUCUGCCACCCACUUGGGCACCUGGCAUGCAUACAGCAUGGCUGGCCGGCCACGAGCUGCACCCGGCAUUUGCCACCUCUGAAACUGGGCCAUAAGCAGGGCUUCUUAGUUCCUUAAGCGUCAAAUUCUGCCACCUCUCUCCAAAACCUGACACGUUCAUUUUGACAUCACUUGGCCUCUGAGUUCAGGAGGCGGGCUGGAGACCUGGAACCCACUAAAAUUCAUCCCACUUCCAACACCCUCCUAGCACCAGGCUCCUUGCUUUCAGGUUUGGAGGCCAUGAAUUAGGGCUUUUGUGACCAGCAAACGGAUGGCACGGCACUUCAUCUGAGUUUGUAAUCAGCUGGCUCAUCAGAUGGUGCUUGCUUCUCUGUUCCCUUUUCCCCUAGUUACUGAUAAACUCUGUGAAUACCCACAGCUGUCCCCUGAUGUUGCUCUUUUCUUUACAAGUGACUUCUGCUAGGAUGUGUUUGUAAAAGAGGCAGGGGCAGGGCAGUCUCCAGCCAACAACGUCCUGUGCUAAAGGCUGUCCAGGUAGCAGCAGCUGUAGCAUAAUAGUAGCACUUAUUAAGGACUUUUCACAAGACUGCAAAAAAUGAGCAAAAGCUUGUUUACAGGUCGGAGGGAGAACUGUAACCUGCCAGAGGUGGACAAAGUCUGCAACAGAUACUCAAGUGGGAGGAUCUAGUAUCAUGAAAUGUGUUUUGGAAACCCUGGAUUUUGCUUCUUUUUGCCACUGACAGACUAAUUUUCCUGUGUCUCGGUUCCUCUCAGUAAAACAAAUGGGAGAUUUGCUACCGACCUCCUCUGAAAACUGAACAGAGGUUCUGCAGGCACGACGGGUUGUGAGUGGUGCUGACUGACAUCUGCUGGUAAACUCAGCGUGGUUAAGCUGGUCUAGGCUCUGGGGGAGCAGCUCUUCCUGACUGGGUUCUUCCUGCUGUGAACCAGAAGAAAGAAUGACCUGCAAGCCAACAAGAAGUCUAGCAACACUCCAGAAGAGAGAUAAGCAUGUCUAGCUUGCUCACCACUGCAUCAAUCUUGGAGCCAAUGCUGUUUAUGGACCGUUCCAGCUGCAGCACACGUUGCAGGAGUCUGGGGGAAACAUGGAGAGCAUUUGCAAGCUUUUUCUUGUGAUAAACGGCAGGAUUUGAAGCAGAUAUCUCAUGGACAAUGGGCAAGACCUCAAACAGGAGUGAAUGUUCCACAUCAGGUCAUGCUUCAACUGCUGUUGCUCCUCUUCAUCAAGAAUGCGGUUGCCAUCUUUGUCGAACCUGGAGAAGGCUGCUGUGAUCUCAUGG